ACUCGUAAUUAAAAUCCCUUAAAAUUCUCCAUCCAAUAACACCCCUUUAGUUGUAUUCUAUUUAUAUUACUCCAAAUGGUGUUAUUUUGUGCGUCGUGGGGAUGACCUUUAAUUUACUCACACACAUACAAGCAUCAACUUUCUCCACUCUCCUACUGUACGAUUUUUUGUUUUAUUUAAUACAAAAAAAAUAAAAAAUUUAGAACAAGAGGAUAUAUAUUGACCUCACUCAAAAGCGGAAUUACAUUUAGAUACUGUAGAGGAAAGUUCUAGAAUAUAUCAGAUUUAAUCGUAGCAGUUCAAGCCUUGGCAUCCUCAUCGACGAUCAGAGGAUCGUGUUUUUUGUUCUUGCAGGAUCGUGGUCUAAACGGCCUUGUUUUCUCUCCUCUCUUUGCACGUUUGUUGAAAGUGAAAACACGCGCUGGUAUCUCUCUGACUUCAUUUGGGCUUUUGUCAGAUGAUGUCUACAAACGGGCAUUUUUUUUUCUCUGUAAAUUUUAUCUUCUUAAGAAACAUGAAAAUAAAAUAAACUGUGUUUAUUGACCUUUUUAACCGGUACAUCUUUUGUUUCUUCUCCAGUUCUUUCUCCAUUGCUAAUGGAUUCUAUCUGUAAACACACUUGUAAAAUGAACUUAUUAAUCUAAUGGACUCUAUAUGUAGAUAGAAGAUACUUGAAACAAUAUGUAUUUUCUUUUCACAACAAGAGAUUUGUGAUGUAAAGCCAUCUCCAAAGGCAAGUACUUAACAAAAAUUAUACAGG
rnacentral:lncRNA from 1 species